CUUUGCGGCACAUUAAGAGUCUUGACAUUAGGCCAUCAUUCAUUUCCUCUUUCAUUCCGCCAACAUUGAUUCCGUGUCAGGCAUGUGGGAGACGGCGCAGACACAAAGGCAAACAAUCCCAAACACAGGCUUUGCCCUCCUUGUACGUUGAGACAAAGGAAGCAGAAAUGAGCCUGGGAUCACAGUCUGCGCUGAGCAGCAUGGAGCAAACAGGGCGUCCCCUUCUCAGUGACAGAGGGACUUGGGCUGACCAACCGUCUUGGCUUCCCUGGGACUGUCCCAGCUCAGCACUGAAAAUCUCAUGCCGAUGAAAACCCCCGCAGGCCUGGGCAGAUGGGAACCUUGGUCACUCUUGCAGAAACUUGAGUCAGACAACAGAGCCGCUGAGUACACCCCAACACAGAGGAGCCAGCGCUCACCGAGAGAUUUGCCAAGUGGAGUCCUUUUGAGACAUCCAAAUUUCACUGUCUUCAACUUAUUAAUGUGAAACAAAGAAUAACGUAUAUGUGUGUGUAAACACGAAUAGUAACAGCUUAUAUUUGUAAACAAUGUGCCGUGCGCCCAGCACUACAUUAAGCAGUCUCCAUGCAGCACCUCCAUUAAUCCUGGGGAGCACUGUACCCACUUCAAGAGGCCUUUAGAAGAGCAAGUAACAAAAACUGGUGGAAAAAAAGCACACAUUCAACAGGAAGCAACAUCUAGAGACCUUUCUGCCUUCCAGGAUACAAAAAGAAAACAGUUCAUAAACAACUUACAUCUAAACCAGUAAUGUUGUCUCCCUGGCUCAUAGGAGCUGAAGAAGAAUUCCAGUUACUGUAGUAAGAAUAUAAGGAUGUGGACUGGUUUGAGGAUGCUUGAGGCAUGACUAUAGCAAGUACUGCGCAUACAUAUGUGGACAUCGUAAGACACACUCUCUGCUUCCCCAGGCGAAAUCUGUAAUGCUUUGUUUAUUCAUGUUCUAUUCUGCGUUUCCAUGGCACUUUGUUCUUUGUGGUUUUUAGGGUAUCUUUCUCCCUCUCUGCUCAGUGAACUGAGCUGCCUGGACAGGCCUUGAGUUUUCUUAUUCGAUUGUUUUUUGUGUGUGUAUGUUUUGCCUUAGCUCCCUCACUAGUAUAGUCAAGGAGCUUUUCAUGCUUUGAGCCAUUUGUGGCAUUUCAGGAAUUACCUUCAUAGCUUUUGUCCAUUUUCUACUGGCUUGUCUUUUUCAAUGUUUUUAUAGGCAUUUUUUAAAAAACACAGUGUGGAUGUCAUUUGGGAUAGCAGUACUAAUAGUAGCUAAAACUUACUGAAAGCUACUGUGUGCCAGGCAGUCUGCUGAGCACUUUACAUGCUGCCUUUCAUUUUUACACUCAUUUAGGAAACUGAGUCACAGAGAGGCGAGAUAACUUGCCAGAGAUUCAAGCACACUCCAGACACAUCCCUACACCAAUCAGACCUCCUAGCCACCCAGAAACUCUCCUCUGCUCGGAGGCUUCUCUGCUUCCUCCACCUGCCCCUUCGCCUCACUGCCUCCUUUCAAAAUCUGCGGCAUGUAUUUUAGGGAUACUCGUAUCCAUUUUCAGGAAUUCCAUGAUCUACACACAGAUGACACCAAAAUCGGAACAGCAAUGUCCACCCUUCUCCCGAGCCCUAGGUCGGUGCCUCUGUCCACCUGUGUCUCCUGAAACUUCAACACAGACUUCAAAUGGAGUGGCAGAAAACCAGAUUCCUUAGGGAAAGGAAGGUCUCCCAGACGGCAGGAGCGGCAGGCCUUAGGGGCAGCCGCAGGGGCUCGGGAGUCUGAACAUACCCGGUUUGAAUUCAGACUCUGGCACGCCCCAUGCGAUCAUAACAUAGUGCUGCACGUCUCAAGCCACCUAUAAAAACGGGGACAAUAACAAUAUCUGCCUCGGGGUUAAUGGUGAGGACUGACUGUGUGUGUCUCGCUCAGGACCAGGAGCAACAAAUGUUGGCUUCUUCCCCGGCAAAGACCCGCGCUUUCUCCUGGGCUCCGGGUUCCCGGGGUGGGGGUGGGCGCAGUCCCGAGGGCCCCAGGCAGUGGCGCAGUGGUUAGACCCCAGCCUCUGGAGUCGGCCUCGGUUCAGAUUCUGGUUCUACCCUUCUCCUCUGUGGCGAACCAACCCUCCGAGCUCUAGUUUACUCGUGUGAAAUGGACUAGCCAAAAUUGGGAUUUUUUUUUUUUUUUAGGAUUAGAUGUGUCGGUCCAUAGACGUUGCUGGCCACAUAGUUAAGUGGUGCGUUCACUCACUGGGCAUUGAUGGAGCGCCUACUACGUGCCAGGCCUGUUUUACGCGCCGGGGGCCCAGAGGCGCCCAGCCGGACUGCCUUCCCUGUUGUUAGUUUGUAACUUUCGCUCCGGCCCCCGCAGCCUCGCGCCUGCCUUCCCUCCACUGUCCUCAGCCAAGGUGUAGUAAAGCGUCUCCGAACGCGGCGCGACCCUCGCCCACGCCCGCUCGCGGGGGGACCGCACCGCCCCAGGGGUCCUCGCUAGGGGUUCCCGGAGAAGGGGUGGGAGAUGGGGGUGCGGGGGGGCACAGGAGCGCGGGCCAGCACCCAGACCUGCUCGGUACCGGGGACCCAGACCCGAGGAUGCCGGGCGGCCAAGGCCCCGCUACCCUGGCCGGCUCCGGGCGGAGGAAGAAGAGGAGGCGCCCAGACUGGAUACCCGCCUGGACCCGGAGCCGCGGCACCACCCCCAGCCCGCCC
rnacentral:lncRNA from 10 species